AAUUCUAAACCGUGCUUCGACGGACCCAAUUAAUUUUGGGUAAACCGAAACCUUUUGUGAAACGUCACGUCCCUGGCGGGGGGGUAGCGAAGAGCUACUUGUCAGCAUGUGCUUUAUUGCAUGUGCCGUGGACAUCCCGUCAACCCCUUUUAAACUUUUAUUUUGUUAUUUUUUAAGCCUGACAUUAAUUGUAUAAAUAUACAAAACAACUUUUGGCAACGGAUCUCUUGGCUCU
rnacentral:misc_RNA from 1 species